rnacentral:rRNA from 1 species
UUUGGAAUUUUGGACAAUGGGCGAAAGCCUGAUCCAGCGACGCCGCGUGGUGGAUGAAGGUCUUCGGAUCGUAAACACCUUUUGGCAGGGAACAAUUUUGAGUGUACCUGCAGAAUAAGAGGUUGCUAACUCUGUGCCAGCAGCAGCGGUAAUACAGAGACCUCAAGCGUUAUCCGGAAUCAUUGGGCGUAAAGCGUACCGACAGGUGGUUUUACAAGUCAGAAGUGAAAUCUUCAAGCUCAACUUGGAGACUGUCUUUUGAAACUGUACAACUAGAGGGACAAAGAGGAAGCUGGAACGAACGGUGUAGUAGUGAAAUGCGUUGAUAUCGUUCGGAACACCGAUAGCGAAGGCAGGCUUCUGGGUGUCACCUGACACUGCUAGGACGAAAGCGUGGGGAGCGAAUGGG